GUCAUCUCGAAGCCCGUCCGAGGUGAGGGCGCCAUACAUUUGGCUUCUUUGCUUCGCCGUCAGGUCCCCAUAAAAGUCUAGAUGCUGCUGCAACUGCAGCUAUCAAUUGUGAUCACCCGAUGCAGAUGGUUGGGAUCAAUAACUUGGUGGCUUAACAGGAACGUCUCUCGUCUGCAAGUGGACGACGGUGACAAAAUUGCUCAAGGGUGGGGCUACGUUUUCAUGUGGAUCUGCUUACUCCGGUUGUCAUUUUUUCUGUUGAUGCAACUUGCAAGUGUGGGCCUUCAGGUCAAGAAUUACUGCUCCUGUUCCUUGUCCGUGCACGAGAAUGGUUUGGCGGUGACUGCCGAUCUCUGCUGCCCACACAGAAUUUUUAUCAGCUUAACUUUUUCUGGAACAAAGAAUUUUUUUUAUUAAUCAGAUGAAGGUACAUGAAAGGGCCGUUUAAGUCUUCUGUCAGAAUCAGCUGUCUCUGAAGAUGACCCGACACUGUUCAUCAACAUUUUUUGUGGUAUAUGGGCUACCUGAGCAAAGAUGGUGACAAUGUUAGUAUAUUAUGAGGGCUAGAGCCAAGAACCAGCAUCAGUUUUCUGAAUAUGAGGUGUCUCAUUCCAUCACAACAUUGGCAAUUGCACUCAGGAGUUACUGUACAUACUACAGAGUGCCAUGGCAUACUGCUAAACAAAUUCUCCUACAAGGUUGGGGGCCAGUGAGCAUCAAGUGGAUUGCAGCCAACAUGGAUGCCACUUAUUGCCACAGGAAUUAAAGCAGGAUUUCCUGACAUGUUUUGCGAUGAUCCUGAAUGCUUUACCAUGGUUUUUGCAAGUCCCUGGAGCUGAAUCGACCCCACAAAUGCUUUACAAGAUAAAGUUCAGGCUUUGCUGCGAAAGCUAUGUGGUGCAUUAUACAGUAUAGCAACUGCAAUCCUAAUCCUCUGAUCCGCAGCCAAGAACAGAACAAACAACCUGUCCUCAUGGAUUCCUCUUCUCACUCUGCUGAUAGUACAACAUAGCUUAUGGAUAUAUAUACAGACGGACGGACGGAAUGUAGCUGGCGCCAAUCAUGAGUCAUCAAAAAGGUCAUUCAUCUGAUCUGUCUGAGGCAUGCAUAGAACAAGAUUUGCUUCGCACAUGGAAACCAAUCCAACAAGCAGGUCCAGAUCGGCUGUUGCUGCUGGGGUGUUGCCACAUGUUAAUUACCAAGGAAAUGAGGAGGUUUGGUUUGGUUGGUGGACCCGUGCCAUGGCGUAAGCUCGUGGACCACAUGAACCACCACCCAAUGAGGCAAUGACCCAAGCAAAGGAGAGGAGGAAGAGGAGAGGGAUGGGCCCCACCACUAAUUGUUUUGGGGUUCUCUCAUUGGGGCGUUGAUGUCACACGUGAUAAAUGUUAGAUAAUUACCCAUGCUCUAGCUUGUCUAGAUUCUACACUGGUAGGGGCUCUUGCUCCUGCUCAGUCAAGGCUGCAUAUUCAAUGUCGGUCGGCAAACACUAUUGUGUAUAGUAGCAGCUGCAGUUGACAGCAUAGUACCAGUAGUGACUAGUAUUAGCAGCAGUAGCUAGUAGUGGUAGAGACUGCAUAACACUAUAGCGCCUUACCUUGCAAAUGCUCACUUUGACCGGUGUGUCUAUAAAGAGGAGAGUAGCUGCAGCUCAGAGUCUUAAGCAGCUCCACUUCGUGUGCUCUUUCUGAGUCCUUCCUCUCAUCUUCUUCCUCCACCUGCAAGCAAGAGGGUGUUGUGUGUGUGUGUGAAGGAGUGCCAACAAGUGGUAUUGAGAGCUUGAGUGUUCGAGCUUGGUGGCCAUGGCUUCCUUGGAUCGUGAGCAUGAGCGCGGGCGUUCUCAAGAGCGUGGCCGUGGGCGCCAGACGACGUACGUCG